ACAUGCAUACACCAUAACACUAAUGCUUCAGAUCCCAUUAUAACUCCAUAGUUAAGCGUGCUUAGGCUAGAGUAGUAUUGGGAUGGGUGACCUCCUGGGAAGUCCUAGUGUUUUACAUGUC
rnacentral:rRNA from 1 species